GAUCGUUUCCUUUAUUUAAUAUAAAGAAUACGAUUAUCUCGCGUCAAAUUAGGUAAUAGGUAUCUGUGACUUAAUAAAUUUAUCUAGCCUUAUUUGUAGUUUGUCUUAAACGUAACAAUCCACAAGGGCCAUGAAAGAAAGGCCUUCCAUCUUUGUAUGGCAGCAGUGCGUAAAAUUUGUCAAUACGUGAAAGCGUGAACAUGAUGUUUAUUAAAGUAUAUAUUUGACAUAAUUGUUAAAGUUCCGGCCAAUUCCGUGCCAGCAGCCGCGGUAAGACGGAAGGAGCAAGCUUAUUACGCAAGGAAUAGGUUUAAUCGAGUGUAGGUGUAAUAGUCAUAUAAGUGUAGCAUAAUUUAGUGUGUAACAGUAAAAUGUUUGAAAAUACUAAGGAAUGUCAAUGGUGUAGACAGCUUAUCUUAACAAGACUUAAAAUUGAAACUCGGAAGUUCAGGUAGCAAACCGGAUUAGAGACCCGCAGUAGUCUGGACCGUCAAAAUGAUGAUUAAAUAAAUAAUCAUAUACCUGGUGAUACGUUCUCAAGAAUUGUAAUCAUAGAAAUUGGCAGCCAUAGAUAUACGCUGUGGAUCAUAUAGGUCCAGCUUUUAUAAUAUUAAAAGACUCGUACUUAACGCUAUAUGCUGAAAACGCCUUUAAUAAUUAGGCUCAUCAGCAGAUUAUCAGUAUUCUCAGAGACUAAACGCGUUACAAUCAGACUAAGAUUGAAGAUAUAGUCCGAUUCUUAUUAAUUAGAAUAUGAAUUGCAUGCGGUUUAAUAGGAAGCAACGCCUAGAACCUUACCAUUCUUUAAAUAAUUAUAAACCCUUAUAGGCAUUAUAAAUAGAGAUGUGUUUAAUAAAUAAUUUAGCUAGUCAACCUUUUCGUACUACACAGGUUGCUAUAACUUUAUACAAUACUAAAUUCUCAUUUAAAGACUUGUUGGGUAUAGAACGUGAAGCUGUUAGCAUUAUGUCUAUUGAAGAGUUAAACUCUAAUAUAGAACAGUUAAAUUACCCAGGUAUUUAUGCUAUAUAUUGUAAGGUUGAUGGUAAAUUUUACAUAGGUGGGGCAACUGUAUUAAAAGAUAGACUUUAUAGUCAUCUCUGUGGUUUUCUUUCAAUGCCUAACAACCGUGUAAAACCCUCCUCUAACACACACCUACAAAAAGCGUUAGAAAUUUAUGGUCCAGCCAAUUUUCAGGUAAUCAUUUUACAUAAAUUCUUGUACGAGUCGCCCUCGACGAGUCUCGGGCGACACGUACUCGCCUGCGCGCGAGGACGUGUCCGAUUUUUUCUUUGA
rnacentral:rRNA from 1 species